rnacentral:snoRNA from 1 species
CUUUCUGAUAUCUUUGUCCAGUUCUGCUACUGAAUGAGUGAUCGAUAUUUGUGACUCUGAGAAAG